GAAUGUAGAUCGGAGGCUCCCGUUCCCCCUUGCACCAGUAGGACGGAAGAGAAGUACAUUUUGAACGCCGAAAGAAUGGGCAGAUGGAGUGAGGGCGGAAGGAGCAGUAAAUACCUGUGCGUCUGCGCAGCAGGAGGGCGGUAACUAAGAUGAUGAUGCUGACGCCUGCCAGAGCAAUCGUGGCUCUGUAGAUGGCUCCUGGGCUGAACUAUACCUCCCCUCCUGCUGAGAGGAGUGACACCAGUUCACACCAGCUGGGGAACUAGCCCCAUCAACACCGAUGGAGUAACGGCCGAUUGACACCAGCUGAGGAUCUGGCCCACAGCCUCACACAUCUAUCACUGCAGUCAUCUGUAAGUGACUGUCCAGAAGCAAAAGGCCCAGCCCAUGGACUAAGCUAGCACUAACCCUGGGAGAUGCCUCCAAGGUUGUGUGAUGAAGGGAUCUCCUGCUGUUCCCUGCGUCUCCCUUUGCUGCACAGUCAGAUCUGACUCUUCAGAGCUGCUGGGUCCAGACAGAGGCGUAUUCUGUGCGAGCCGGAGACUUGAAUGUGAUCUCGGCGUAGUGCAGACCCUCGCUCGCGUUACCACCAGCUCUGCUAUGCCCCUGUUGAAGACACAAAUCAAGUCACCCGGGCUCCAUCUCCCACUGCCGUCUUUCCAGCCCCGUUUCUACCAGAGUCACAUGGACCGCGCGUCAGCACUGUCUUGAAACUGACACCACCACCCAGUUAAACUCAGGCUCCAAUGUUAAUGGUCUCACCUUUGCCAGCUGCUGCUGUUGGGUGUCUGUGGAGGCUGCUGGGGAGGAAAGGAGGAGGCAUGGGUUAUUGUUGGAAGAGAUGAAUAGAGGUGUACAAACUGAACAGAGGACUGGAGAAUGUAGAUCGGAGGCUCCCGUUCCCCCUUGCACCAGUAGGACGGAAGAGAAGUACAUUUUGAACGCCGGAAGAACGGGCAGAUGGAGUGAGCGCGGAAGGAGCAGUAAAUACCUGUGCGUCUGCGCAGCAGGAGGGCGGUAACUAAGAUGAUGAUGCUGACGCCUGCCAGAGCAAUCGUGGCUCUGU